AAUUUUUAAUUUUAAUGACUUCACUCUGCGUGUCUGAAAGUUUUAUGUGGUUCUUUCAAAAAUUCAUCUUGUCUUGUUCUUUUGUUACUUAUUCAAUUCUUCCUCAAUUUCCUUAGUGAUCUCUCAUACAUGUGUGUUAAACUCUCCUCUCUGACCGCAGUUCCUCGGUGGAAGUACGAUCUUUCUGUCUAUUAUCCUGCUGACUGUUGUCCAUGGUUGAACUAGUCCCUUUGGGUUUUGUAAUUUUAGAUUGUGAGCUCAUUUCGAUGAGGCUUGGUCUGUGGGUUGCAGCGUUUCCCUGGCUAGAGCUGUCAGCUUCUACCAGGCACUCCUGAGAGUACCCCAUCCCUGGACUAGUUUUUAUGUGACCUUUUGGGCCUGAGUUCCCAGAUCCUGAAGGUGGUGUGAAUUCAAACCUGAAAGGGGAAGUCCUGUGGCAAGUUCCCAGGGGAGCCCUUUCCCUAUUGAGAGCCAAGGUGAAAAGAGAUACUCUUCCUGGUCUGUUCCAGUGGGCAGAUUUCUUCCGAGUCUGUCCUUUCACCCAGGAUGCAGAGCUUGAAAACCCCAGGUCCGUACAAGGACCUCACACCCGACUCCACAGCUGGGCAUCAAGACCCAAGCCCUGGUUAGAGCACCCAGCAAAGGGUCCUCCUGACGAAGACAUCACUGAGGAGACUGCUCAUCCACGUCUCCUUCUUCACAGCUGCCCUCUGGGAUUCCCCUUACUUUCUCGUGCACUUGGCUCUGGGUUUUUAAAAGCCUUAUCUUCGAGACAGCCUUCCUAUGUUUCCUGCAAGGAGACUCUUUCCAGGCUGUCUGAGUCCUGCUCUCUGCCCUUUCCUCCACUGCCGAAAUUAAACUGCAAGGAACAACAUCUUUCCAUGGCCUUCCACAUCUCCAGUGCUUUCUGCCCCUAACCCGAGCCCGCCCGUCGAUGCAGUUCACAAAACCCCCAGUUCCUCUGCUCGGCCCUUCUUCUAGCUCUCCCCACUUCCUGUCCCAUCCAGCUGGACCCCAUGGUGAAUCACACCCCCAGUGUGGCCAGCACCCAGGGUCCCCAUUCUCUGGCUCUUCAUCCCAGCCACCGACCCUUCAUCCGUCCAACUGUGCACCUUCUUUGCAUGUAGCUUCUGAGUUAACAGAACAAACAAAGGGCCUGCUGCCAUCAAAUACACACACUACCUGAGGCUUCAGCCAGGCCCUUGACACCACUUGGCUAUGCCUUCCAGCCCCCUUUCCAGCACCCACUCAGGCUGCUUCCGACACACGGGGCUCGAAGCAGGCAUGAGUGCUGCUGCAUGCUGCUACUAUUGCCAGCCUGCACUGGUUCCUCUCUCUCAGCUGUGACCUUAUCUACUAUACAAUCAAGAUGCCAUCCCCAGCCUCCCACCCCCACACCUAGAAACAUGUCUCUAUCCUUGUACCAUAAAGAAGGCUGAGUACUGAAGAACUGAUGCUUUUGAAUUGUGGUACUGGGGAAGACUCUCGAGUGUCCCUCGAACAGCAAUCAAUCCUAAAGGAAAUCAACCCUGAAUAUUUGUUGAAAUGACUGAUGCUGAAGUUGAAACUCUAGUACUUUGGCCCCCUGAUGCGAAGAGCUGACUCAUUGGAAAAGAUCCUGAUGCUGGGAAGGAUUGAAGGCAGGAGGAGAAGGGGACGGCAGAGGAUGAGAUGGUUGCAUGGCAUCCCUGACUCAAUGGACACGAGUUUGAGCAAGCUCCAGGAGACAGUGGAGGACAGAGGGGCCUGGGUGUGCUGCAGUCCAUGGGGUCGCAGAGUCAGACAUGACUGAGUGACUGAACAACAACAACAAAUCCAUUCACACCCUUUCCUCUUUGUCUUUGGAGUCUCCUUCUGGUCAAGGCUUUUCCUGCCCGGGCUUUUUGGUCCUUCUCUUUGACCAGAGAAGAGGGGCCCCUGACCUGGACUCACACUCUCCAAGACCCCCUCUGCCCCUCCUCCAGCGGGUCUUACCCCCAGAGUGGGAAGUGUGUGGGGCGGGGUGCUGGUUCCCACCUGGGGCCCAGGCUCCCCGUUCCAGGUCUGGUUCUAGUAAGUAGAGCCUCAGAUUCGCCCUCCAAAUGGCAGAACCCAUUCCUGCAGCCACGCAGGAGCCUCUUCUGCAAGGGAGCACUCGCCCCUGUCCUGCCCUCAGCAGAUAGUUCUGGCCAGUGGGACAACACAGCCUGGCAUCGACCCUCCCUACUUCCCAGCCCCCUGUCCCCAGCCCCUCUUUCCAUCACCCCAGACCCCUGGGAUCAUGGCUCCAAGCAGCUGCUGGUGCUCAAGCCCUGUGUUAGGCUCUGCUCUGGGGGACCUAGGCUAAGACCCUCAGCAGUUAAACCCCUCCAAAUGCCCUCAUGCUCAAAUGGAUUUUCUCAUCCCCCAUUCACUCACCUGCAAUGGCAUCUCACGAGAACCCCUUCCAGGCGCCCCUACCUCCGGCCUCUGGGUCCCCUUCUUCCUCCUGCUGUUUACAUGCAACCCUCCUGCCCACCCCCUCCUGAGCCUCCCUCCUCCUAUGACUGCACCUGCCUCCACACUGCCGACCUCCAGAUUGUAUCUCAAAACCUGAGACGGCUGCAGACAAACACGGAAGAUGGGGUAGCCCUCUCUGGCAGGUGUCGAUGGGAGGGACCUGGCGAGGUCUCCUCCACCCAACAACGAUCAGAGCCCAACGCCUGGCUGGGAGGAGCCCAGCGGCCUGGCACACUGUCAGGCCGCAGAGAGAGGUGCCUGGAAGAGACGGAGUCCUCAGGGCUGGGGGACGAAACUUGAGCCCACCUCCUAAGACCCCUGCACACACCACCCUCUCCAACUUGGCAGCUUCUCCCACCUGUCCUGCAGUCCUGCGCACCACUGACUGGCCUGACAGAGUCUCUCAGCUACUUGCCCCACAUGUUUCUGGGUUAAUUUCAUGUCCUUUUGGAGAAUCUUUUUUUUUUUUUUUACAUGGAAGUAAUCCAUGUGCACUGGAGAAUUCAGAAAGGCUAGGAUGAGCAAAUGGAGAGCAGCACCUUGUGUGAAGCAAGCCCUGGAACUCUGAUGGAUGUCUUCCUGUCUCCUCCGUGUCUACACACGCUCGUGUUUAUAAAACCUGUACUGAGCUGUGAUGAUGUUUAAAGCUCUUCCUUGUCACUUAGAACUAUCGUGUGAAUUUCUUUCCAUGGUAUUAAGUCCCCUAUUUUUGUAAACUUGGAGACAUACAGAUAUCCAUAUAUCUUCCAAUCACUGUUGGAUGCUUGUAGUUUUUUAUCCCCCCUGCAUGGGUCACAGCCUUAUCCUGGCGCAGGGGCUUGCGUAACUCCAUGAAGCUCCUAGUUCUGCUGUGCAGGGUCACCAGAGAUGGACGGGUCUCAGUGAAGAGUUCUGACAAAACGUGCUCCACUAGAGGAGGAAAUGGAAAAACCACUCCGGUAUUUUUACUGAGAGAACCCCAUGAACAGGAUGAAAAGGCAAAAAGAUACGACACCAGAAGAUGAGCCUCCUGGGUUGGAACACGUCCAAUAUACUACUGGGGA
ensembl:lncRNA